GAUCUCCAGCUUUGUUGCAUCUCUAUUCUGCUCCUCGAGGUGCUCAACAGGAGAAGCACUCAAUAGGAGAAGCAGGAGCAGCGGAGCGUUCGCCUCGUUGCAGGUCGACUUCGGGGUGCGUGGACAAACAGAUGCUAGGGGCAUUGUUUCACACAACACCUACACCAAUGACCACUGGACAAGUGAAGCAAAGGUACUUGUGAACAACAUGAAAAACUUUCAGCCAUCCUUUGAUUACAUGGAAAUAUGCCUUUGAUGCAUCCGUGUUAUUAUUUACUGACCGACUGUGUUUAGCAACUUCAGUGUGUAGAUCAAAAUUACUACUCCCUCCAUCCGAAAAAGCUUGUCCCGCGAAUGAUUGUUUGUAGCAUCAAGUUAGUGGUAGAUACAUCCAUUUGAGGAAUAAGCUUUUCCGAAUGGAGGGAGUAUAUGAUGUAAUUAACCAAUAUCACUAAGAAGUGCUCCUGGACACAAAAUGCUCUAUACUAUCA